UGGAGAGCUUGCUUUCCAUGAGAGUGGCGCACGGGUGCGUAACACGUAUGUAACCUACCUUGUUCAGGGGGAUAGCCUCUCGAAAGAGAGAUUAAGACCGCAUAACAUUAUUGAAUGGCAUCGUUUAAUAAUCAAAUAUUUAUAGGAACAAGAUGGGCAUGCGGAACAUUAGCUAGUUGGUAAGGUAACGGCUUACCAAGGCUACGAUGUUUAGGGGAUCUGAGAGGAUGACCCCCCACACUGGUACUGAGACACGGACCAGACUCCUACGGGAGGCAGCAGUAAGGAAUAUUGGUCAAUGGGCGGAAGCCUGAACCAGCCAUGCCGCGUGCAGGAAGACGGCCCUAUGGGUUGUAAACUGCUUUUAUACCGGAAUAAACCUUGAUACGUGUAUCAAGCUGAAUGUACGGUAAGAAUAAGGAUCGGCUAACUCCGUGCCAGCAGCCGCGGUAAUACGGAGGAUCCAAGCGUUAUCCGGAUUUAUUGGGUUUAAAGGGUGCGUAGGUGGUUCUUUAAGUCAGGGGUGAAAGACGGCAGCUUAACUGUCGCAGUGCCUUUGAUACUGAAGAACUUGAAUCCACUAGAGGUAGGCGGAAUGUGACAAGUAGCGGUGAAAUGCAUAGAUAUGUCACAGAACACCAAUUGCGAAGGCAGCUUACUAUGGUGGUAUUGACACUGAGGCACGAAAGCGUGGGGAUCAAACAGGAUUAGAUACCCUGGUAGUCCACGCCCUAAACGAUGAAUACUCGAUGUUGGCGAUAUACGGUCAGCGUCUAAGCGAAAGCGUUAAGUAUUCCACCU
rnacentral:rRNA from 1 species